UAUAGGGUCCCCCAUGGGCUGACCCCAUGUAAAGCCCCUACAUGACCCUAUGGGAGUCCCCCUAUGGGGUCCCUAUGGUGUCCCUAUGGGGUCCUGGCGCCACCCUAUGGGGUCCCUAUGGGGUCCCGGUGUCACCCUAUGGGGUCCCUAUUUAGGGUCCUUAUAUGGGGUCCCUGUGGGGCUGCUAUGGGGUCGCUAUAGGGUCCCCCAUGUGCUGACCCCAUGUAAAGCCCCUACAUGACCCUAUGGGAGUCCCCCUAUGGGGUCCCUACGGGGUCCCUAUGGGGUCCUGGCGUCACCCUAUAGGUGUCUCUAUGGGGUCCCUAUGGGGUCCCAGUGUCCCCCUAUGGGGUCUUUACGGGGUCCCGCUGUCACCCUAUGGGUGUUCCCCUAUGGGGUCCCUAUGGGGUCCCUAUGGGGUGCCGCCGUCCCCCUUUGGGUCUCUAUGGGGUCCCUGCGUCACCCUGUGACACCACAGAACCCUAUAGGACCCCACAGGACCCACAGAACCCCAUAGAACCCUAUAGGACCCCACAGGACCCACAGAACCCUAUAGAACCCACAGAACCCCAUAAAAC
rnacentral:lncRNA from 1 species